GUCCGCACUGUAAACGAUGAUUACUCGCUGCUGGGGGCAACCUUCAGUGGCUGAGCGAAAGCGAUAAGUAAUCCACCUGGGGAGUACGCCGGCAACGGUGAAACUCAAAGGAAUUGACGGGGCCCGCACAAGCGGAGGAGCAUGUGGUUUAAUUCGAUGAUACGCGAGGAACCUUACCAGGGCUUGAAAGUUAGUGACCGGUGGUGAAAGCCACCCUUCAGCAAUGACACGAAACUAGGUGCUGCAUGGCUGUCGU
rnacentral:rRNA from 1 species